UCUAGAAGUUAACACGUUCCAGGUGAUGUCUCUAUGUAAACCAAGGGUUGGUUUUCAGUGUUCUGGAGGCUGGGUCAUCCAAGGUCAAGGUGCUGACAGAUGGAUUGUCCCUGGAAAGCCUGCUUCAUAGAUGACAAUCUUCUCCCUGUGUUCUCAGGAGUGAGGGUACCUUUCUGGUGCCUUUUUUCAUAAGGACACUAAUCCCGUUCCUGAGGGCUCUACUCUCAUAACAUAACAUCCAGAAGGUCCUACAUUCUAAUAUCAUCACACUGCAGCUUGGGUCCUGAUAUGAGAGAUGUAUGGAGAAAAUACCUAAAUCUACCUUAUAACCUGGAGCAGAACCACCACAGCCUCAGACAUGUAACAAUUAUGGUGUUUACUCUCUUGCACAAUUUUAUUUUAGUUAUUCAGAAACCUCAGCAAAUAAAAAUCUUUUUGGAAA
rnacentral:lncRNA from 1 species